UAAGAUAUUUUUGAUCUCUCUGCAGUGUAUUUUUACAUUAUAUUUAAAGAGACAUCGUUUUGUCCACAACAGUUGAUUUACUUCAUUGAAUAAUUCUCAAUAGAAGACACGCCCUUAACAUAUGUCGUCAUCACUGGAGCCGCUUCGGUCUCGCGGCGGAGUAUCGCGGAUUUCUGUCAUACGGCGGCCCAUUACAUUUUAACAAAAUAUUCAACUGUACGAAUGAUCAUCCACAUUGCAUCCGUUAUUCAGCUAACAUCGGCGAACCUUCGAGGGGGCGGGGUGAGUGAGGGCUGCUGUGAGGAUCCCACACUGUGGGGCAGUCACACACUCAAUGGUGUCUCCCACAAUGAAGGCGUUGGUGGAUGCAGUUUGGGCGGUGUGGAGCAUUGGGGCCUCAAUCUAUGACUACAUCCACACCAGUGCCAUGGAAGAGCGCAUUCACUCACUGGAGAGUGUUAUAACCAUUCACCAGUGUGUCAUUGGCCUGCUGUCAGCUGCACUUGUGGCUCUUUUCACCUACAUUCUGCUAAGAAAGCACUGACUCAGGACUAGUCAAUCCAGAGAGACUAUAGCAGUGACAACAGAGGGAAUUCUAUGUUGGUGUCAAGCUGUGUUCUGUUCAUCUUAAAGGGAUUUUAACAUGUCUGACUUUUACCUAAUCAAUAACUUACAAAACUUUAGUUACUCUUUCUAUAUGUUAAAAUUUUGCUGCUUCAUUAUCAGUUGAUGCGAUUCCGAGUAAUCUGGUAAACCAAAACAAGCGUGCUACUUCAUUAAAAAAAAAUAGGCUUCCACCGUGGAUUUCCAUUAUGGAUUUUAUAGGUUGUUCACAGAAAGAAGGAUUCAGAGAUGCUACCUGACCAUGGUUUCUUUGCACAAGCUUGGUGAAAGCUGAACAAACACAAAACAACCACUGGAUUAGCAGGCUUCUCAACCUGUUUGCUGCUAUCUUCAAUGGAGUCAGCUUUUGUGUAACUUACUUUUAAACGACACAUUCAGCUAGCCAAUGUCAAAGUAUAACUUUGUUAACCUAUAACAUCUCAUACAACUUAUUUCUCAGAUCCAUGGGAAUUUAUUAAUAAAAAUCAGUGACAUCAAUUAAACUCUUGAUUUCACAA